rnacentral:rRNA from 1 species
UACGUAGGGUGCAAGCGUUAAUCGGAAUUACUGGGCGUAAAGCGUGCGCAGGCGGUUGUGCAAGACAGAGGUGAAAUCCCCGGGCUUAACCUGGGAAUGGCCUUUGUGACUGCACGGCUAGAGUGUGUCAGAGGGGGGUAGAAUUCCACGUGUGAGCAGUGAAAUGCGUAGAGAUGUGGAGGAAUACCGAUGGCGAAGGCAGCCCCCUGGGAUAACACUGACGCCUCAGGCACGAAAGCGUG